rnacentral:ncRNA from 1 species
AAGAGCCGUAUGCGGUGAAAGUCGCACGUACGGUUCGGGAAGGGGGAGUUGAUGCACCUCUGGUGCUUGGCUCCCUACUUCAC